AUCGAACGCUGGCGGCAGGCCUAACACAUGCAAGUCGAGCGGAGCGGCGGACGGGUGAGUAAUGCCUAGGAAUCUGCCUGGUAGUGGGGGAUACCGUCCGGGAACGGGCGCUUAUACCGCAUACUAUCAGAUGACCUUCGGUUGGAUUUGCUGGUUGGUGGGGUAAAGGCCUACCAAGGCGACGAUCCGUAACUGGUCUGAGAGGAUGAUCAGUCACACUGGAACUGAGACACGGUCCAGACUCCUACGGGAGGCAGCAGUGGGGAAUAUUGGACAAUGGGCGAAAGCCUGAUCCAGCCAUGCCGCGUGUGUGAAGAAGGUUUUCGGAUUGUAAAGCACUUUUAGUUGGGAGGCGUUACCAACAGAAUAAGCACCGGCUAACUUCGUGCCAGCAGCCGCGGUAAUAC
rnacentral:rRNA from 1 species